rnacentral:rRNA from 1 species
UACGUAGGGGGCUAGCGUUGUCCGGAAUCAUUGGGCGUAAAGCGCGUGUAGGCGGUCCGGUAAGUCCGCUGUGAAAGUCGGGGGCUCAACCCUCGAAAGCCGGUGGAUACUGUUGGGCUAGAGUACGGAAGAGGCGAGUGGAAUUCCUGGUGUAGCGGUGAAAUGCGCAGAUAUCAGGAGGAACACCAAUUGCGAAGGCAGCUCGCUGGGACGUUACUGACGCUGAGACGCGAAAGCGUGGGGAGCAAACGGG